rnacentral:tRNA from 1 species
GCCGGGAUGGUGGAAUUGGUAGACACGUAAGAUUCAGAUUCUUAUGAGAGAAAUCUCGUACGGGUUCAAAUCCCGUUUCCGGCACCA